AAUCAAAAUCAAAUGGUUUGGCAAAAAUGAUUUGGCUUUAUUAUUUUUUUUUUUUCAGAAGGAAAGCUUCAGUGCUGAGCUUUUCUAGGAGCCCACAUCCUAGCAGACAUCUGAACAGGUAUUGAAACCUCUAAUAAAUAGGUGCACAGUAAGGGCUUGAUGUCUAUUUUAACAAGUGAUGUGUCCAUCGCUUCUUGACACGAGGUCUCUUAAGCCUUCCAAAGACUACCCAUGACCAAAACUUUGCUCUCUGCUAUUUUCCAGAUCAAUCCAGAUUGGAGGAAUAAAUGGGGGCUUCUUGACUUCUGACUGACCUUUGGCUUGAACUAAGUGCUGCUUUCCUCUGCUGAAGAGCUGCAACCUGAGAACAUGCUUGAAAAAGCUCUUUUGAGUUUCAAAGUCUCCUUGUCUUGUCCAAGGGUGUCAGAAUCCUUGUUCCUGAAAGUUUGCUAUGGCCUGGAGGAAGAGGAUGUGAAUCUGUAGCUAUUGCAGCACCAGCAUAAGAAGUCUCUGCCUGCCAGGAAGAAGCCAACAUGCACCAUUGGGAGAGAGAGUCUGGACCCAGGAAAAAGAAAAAAAGUCUGCUGGUGUCUGUCUGCAGAUUGUCUCCCCGUCCUAUAUGGAUUCCAUUGGCAGAGCCCACUCAGCAUUUCCUGGAAUAAAUGCUCUUGUGAAGGAAAAGGGUUCGGCAUAAAGCAUGAAACAUUGGUGGAGAUGAGAUUUGUCCAGAGAUUUUUUAGAGGAAGAACGUCCUGACCUAAUGAAAUUAUGCAAAUAUGUUGGAGAGUAGUCUUCAUUUAUCUUGUGGCUCACCUAUUCUUUGGUGUCCUUCCAGGACAAAGCACUUGCCCUAUGUAUACCUUGAGUAUUAAUACAAGUGUUCUCCUCCCCUUGCUAAUGAGAUGCCAGACUGGAGGAGGAAGCUCUCUUGUGAUGUGGAAGGGUUACACCCCACCAUCACUGUCUGUGACAGCGAACUCUCUCCUGAUCUGCACACACCAUGCACGUCAGCCACGUUGCUCUGCACCAGCGACAGAGACAGCCCUCCUGUACAACUGAGACUGCUGUGAAAAGCGGGGAAAGUGAACACAUCUGCCACCCGCAUUUCCCCACAGUGACAUUUGAACUCGUUGGCCAGCUCCAACCACAUUUAACUGUGGUUGGUAAAUGUGGUCUGAAAGACAUGCUGAAAUAAAGCAAUCGGAUGUGCACCA
rnacentral:lncRNA from 1 species